CAGGUCUUGACAUCCCACUGACCGGUGUAGAGAUACAUCUUUCCCUUCGGGGACAGUGGUGACAGGUGGUGCAUGGUUGUCGUCAGCUCGUGUCGUGAGAUGUUGGGUUAAGUCCCGCAACGAGCGCAACCCUUGAUCUUAGUUGCCAGCAUUCAGUUGGGCACUCUAAGGUGACUGCCGGUGACAAACCGGAGGAAGGUGGGGAUGACGUCAAAUCAUCAUGCCCCUUAUGACCUGGGCUACACACGUGCUACAAUGGACGGUACAGAGGGUUGCCAACCCGCGAGGGGGAGCCAAUCCCAUAAAACCGUUCCCAGUUCGGAUUGCAGGCUGCAACUCGCCUGCAUGAAGCCGGAAUCGCUAGUAAUCGUGGAUCAGCAUGCCACGGUGAAUACGUUCCC
rnacentral:rRNA from 1 species